CAGAGCUGACAGAACCCCAUAAGAAAAGGAAACGGACUGGGCUCCACAAGGCCAGGAAAACAUAAAUCUGGUCUCUCAGCUGCUCUGUUCUGAUGAAAUACGAUUGUCUGAAGAACAGACACCCCUGAUGUGGAGUCUGCUAGUUGAUGGGAGGCAGAGAGAUGUCACAGGUUCAUGCGUCCAUUUGCUUUUAAGGUGUCUUUGCUGUCAUUGCUGUCGUCAUUAAUAUCACUGGCCUGGACUGUCAACCGCUUAAGGGUGGGCUCUCAUUGAAGUGAAUGUGAUUUAUUCCAAAGAAGGUCUCAGAUUCAAAAUAAUCAUCUUUAAAAGUCACUUCCUGCAGCAGUGAAUUCCGGAAAUGCACAGUGUGACUUCCUAAUGAAGCAUCCUACUGGAACUGGUUGCCUAGAGAGGUUGUGGGCUCUCUGUCUUUGGAGGUAUUCAAAACCUGACUAGACACUGUCCUGGGUAACCUGCUGUAGCCGAUCCCGCUUGAGCAGGAGGGUUGGACCAGAUGAUCUCCAGAGGUGCCUUCUGGCCUCAGCCCUUCCGUGAUUCUGUGAAGUCAAGAGGACAAUUACCAUUGAAUUUAGUGAUUUGAGGAUUUCACCUAUAGUAUAAAAUAAGGCUAAUUUCUGCAUUGCGUAGCUAUGGGGAGAGGCAGAACGGAAAGCUCCUGUGCUUUCCAUUAAAAAUGGAUGUUGGCAAAAGGAUGGCCAUGGAAACCAUCAGAUUCCUGCUGGUAUGAGUGAAUGCAUUUCUGCUGACUUCCAGGGAAGUUUCCGGCCUAUCCUGGGAGUGAUUUUGGCUCUGUGAGCUCUGCAUUGCUCCUUGUAUGUGUUGCAGUA